AUACGGAGGGUCCAAGCGUUAUCCGGAAUCAUUGGGUUUAAAGGGUCCGCAGGCGGUCAAUUAAGUCAGAGGUGAAAGCCCAUCGCUCAACGAUGGAACUGCCUUUGAUACUGGUUGACUUGAGUUAUACGGAAGUAGAUAGAAUAAGUAGUGUAGCGGUGAAAUGCAUAGAUAUUACUUAGAAUACCGAUUGCGAAGGCAGUCUACUACGUAUAUACUGACGCUGAGGGACGAAAGCGUGGGGAGCGAACAGGAUUAGAUACCCUGGUAGUCC
rnacentral:rRNA from 1 species